AUGGCAGGGGAAUCCAGCGGAAAAAGGGAAGAUUCGUGUGAUUUGUAUUUCUGGGAAGUUGCUGAUGUGGGGGAGUGCAACUAUGCUGAUUAUUUGGUUAGCCGAGGAAUCCCAAUACCAGCAGGUUGGGGUGUUGGACAAGUAACUGAAGGAACGACAGAAGAGGAAGAUGCAGAGCAGAAGGUUAAAGAUGCAGUUCCUCUGAUCAUGGCCAAGCAACAGCUGUUGAACGUCCUUGACAGCAAUGAGGUGAUGAAAGAGCUUGUGAAGAUAAUGGGAAAAAUCGAUGUGCUCUAUAGGAUGAUUGUCACUUUAUUUGCAGUGUAUGUAGCACUCGUGAUGUAUUCAGUGGCUAUGACAUGA
rnacentral:rRNA from 1 species